AACGAUGGUUAUUGUCAGCAUCCUUCCCGCCGAGUUACUGUCAAUGAUGAAUUUUGGUUGCACGAAACAUUUAUUAUCCAAGAUAUCAGCGACUCCAGGAUGCAGCCCCCAAUCAUUCUACAUUUUGGAAAUCAGAAAUCAAUACCAAAAAUGGACUUUCAUGGUCAUCUUUAACUAAAUUGCGCUGACAUAAUGGAGAAUGGAGUAGCAGAACAUAGAGGCACAUCUUUGUUGAAAAGUUCUGGAUUAAAUGAACCGGUGUUGUGAUAUCAUCUGUGCAGUGUUGAAAUUGAAAUCGCUAGAAGAAAAUCAAGAGUCUUGGGGCCCACCUACGUCUGCUGAUGUGUUCAACAAGGAGAACAAUCUGCAGAACAUCUCCUCUGGGACAGGUAUUGGAUGAUGAGGAGAAAAAGACCAAAAAGAAAAUAUCACGGAAAAAGGGGAAGAAAGGACGAAAGGCCCAGUCAGGAUCCCAGGAGCCAGUCCAUUCCAUCGACUGCCCAGAGGAGCCAGUCCAUUUCACCGACUGCCUGAAGGAGCCAGUCCAUUUCAUCGACUGCCUGAAGGAGCCAGUCCAUUUCAUCGACUGCCCACAGGAGCCAGUCCAUUUCACCGACUGCCCACAGGAGCCAGUCCAUUUCAUCGACUGCCCACAGGAGCCAGUCCAUUUCACCGACUGCCCACAGGAACCAGUCCAUUUCACCGACUGCCUGAAGGAGCCAGUCCAUUCCAUCGACUGCCCACAGGAGCCAGUCCAUUUCAUCGACUGCCUGAAGGAGCCAGUCAAUUCCAUCGACUGCGCAGAGGAGCCAGUCAAUUCCAUCGGCUGCCCAGAGGAGCCAGUC